UACGGGGGGAGCAAGCGUUGUUCGGAUUUACUGGGCGUAAAGGGCGCGUAGGCGGUCGUGACAAGUCACUUGUGAAAUCUCCGGGCUUAACUCGGAACGGUCAAGUGAUACUGUCGGACUAGAGUACAGAAGGGGCAACUGGAAUUCCUGGUGUAGCGGUGAAAUGCGCAGAUAUCAGGAAGAACACCCGUGGCGAAGGCGGCUCUCUAGUACGGUACUGACGCUGAGACGCGAAAGCGUGGGGAGCGAACAGG
rnacentral:rRNA from 1 species